UCAGAGUUAGGCUAAACAAAGCUUUAGGGUUCAUACCCCUAAGAUAUGUGCUCUGAU
rnacentral:tRNA from 1 species